CCCGAGAAUGGAGGCGUCCGGGAGCGAGGACUUCGCCGGCGUCAAAGCCACUGCCAGGCGGGACGCGCAGGCGCGCGAGGGGCGCAUGGCUCCUCUCCUGGUGCGGCACACGAGGGAAUGAGGUGGGGAUCGAGCUGCCGGCACACCACCCGACGUUCACCCUUGCUCCACACUUCGUCGGAACUCCAUCUGUUGGUUCUGCACUUAGGUAUUCACUGAAGCAAACUUUGUAAUUUCCUGAUAUAUCUUAAUGAUUGUUGAAGCCAAACUCGCAUCUCAUCUGCUUUUUAAUAGUUUUGCAUAAUUUACUUUCUUGAACUGAUGGUCUGAACUCUGAAGUGGUGUCUUAUACAUGGUUAGAUAAUGUAGUGGGGAAUUUUUCUGAUGUACAACCUAUAUAUCAGAAAUGGUUGAGCUUGGAAUGAUCUGUCCCGGUUAUUAGUGUUUGUGUUCCUGUAGAUCAAAUAUCUAUUUGUAAUUUUGGAUUAGUAUAUUUGCUUUGAAAGUCAGAGUUGCAUUUACUGUUUUCUUUUUGGCGCAAAAAGAAGUAGUUAGUAUUAAACAUAUGUUAGACAGAGCUACUUACCAAUGGCAAUUUGUCUGGAGUUCUGAUGUUUUUUGUACAUUGUUGUGGCUGAAAACCUGAAACGAUUUGUGUAACUGAUAGUCUGUUGCUUUACUUCUACACUGCUUAAUUAACCUGCGAUUAAUUUUGAUAUUUGAUUUUUGGCAAGAAUCAUCGGACUAUAGAUUAUUGAUCAUGCAUGAAACGUUUUAAAGGAAGCGAAUCUACAUUUGCAUGCUUGGUUUGAAGACUUGCCAGCUGGGUGAAGAAGCUUUCUGACAAACAUCCAAAUCACUCUAAUAGGCCCAAGUUGAGCAUAUGUUAGAUGGUCUGGAUGACAUGGAUGGUGCCGAGGAUGUCCCUUUUGAUGAGCUCAUAGGCAUGCAAGGCUUAGUAUUUCACUUGGUUGAGAAUGCAAUUACAAUAUGUAUUACAUACAAGUCUGAUGGAUUCAAGAGAAUGAAGAGUAAAUAAUACUAUACUAUAAAUACGUCAACUACAGAUAACCCUCCCAACUACAAUGUUGCACCUGACAACCUCCUACUCAACGAGGCCAAGCUAUCUCCAGGGGACCAUGCCCCUGGACGUUCCUAAGAGGUGUGCUGCUAGAUGACCUUCUUGCUGCUGAAACAACAAAUGCUUGUAACUGCAGCUCCUGCUAACAUGCAAGCUGGAUGAGCACCGGGCAUAUUUGCUACGAUGAUGAACAAAUAUGCAAAUGACUACAGAAACAACAGCUGAUGGAGCUGUGGUUCUUGGAAACCCAGUUGCUCCUUCUGUUAAUGGGGAUGUGUAUGCGGAUAUCAGCCCUGAGAAUGUUGUGGUCCAGUGACACCGAGAAGAUAGUGCAAAUGUGCUAAUUAUUUGGUUGAAGCAUCUGCUGCAGAGGUUGAGGUAAUUAGUGCUACUUUAGCUGCUAUAAAGGCCAGACAAGUUGGAGAUGAGAUGAGCAUUUUAUCAUAUUGCUUUGCCUGUAAUAACCAAAAUUGAUUGAUUUAGUUUCACACAACAUAGAUAAUUAUAUCGUCCGGUUCAAUUUUACUUAUGAAAGUUGAACAUUUCUUAUCUUGUUAGAUUUCCUCUUUGUAAGUUCUAGGACUUUAGUUAAUUGAAUAUCUUAAGGCAUGCAUGCCAGAACUUUCCAGAUGGUAACACUUGAUGCAAUUCUGUUCCUACUAUUCUUACCUGAUACUACCUGGACGACCUUCAAGCAUCAAUAACUUAAUCCUUUUAGGUUUUCUACUUCUUUCUCCAGUACAGACAUAAUAUUGUUUGGUGCUUCCCAAUAUUUGGACGUGAAAGUAGAGAAGCUUUACAUUUCAAGAAAUAUUAGAUUAUCAAUAAGAAAAUAUGGUCCAAGCCGGACUACUACUUCUAAAUGUUUUGUUUUUCACCAAAGGGGAUAUUUUACUUCUCCUAAUCAUGGUCGCCGUGUAACCCGAUGAUAGUAGGAUGGUAAAUAACUACAUCCUUUUUCGGCAUGGCAAAAAAAAAUACAUCCUACCCAUUUGAUGAUUUGCAACUGCAGCUGAACAAUAAUGAAAGAAAAAAGAGUACAUGCUUUACAUAAUGUACCUACAACAACAAUAGGUUGCCCCACCAAACAUCACCAGAGGACUGAGAAGGAAAACGACGCUUCCUCAGUCAGGUUCUAUUGGCCGUUGUAGCAUUAGCAUGAUGAAGAUUCUGGAACAGUGCAUGACAUGUCCAAGCCCAAAGUCUUCCCUUAGUGUGAAGCACCUGAGCUGGCGUCGAGCAAUAUCCCUUGAAUAUUAUUUCAUUGUGUUCUUUCUAGGUGUGCAACCAUAUCAGCUGCACCAAGGAGCUCCAUGCACGGGGCACGGCGGUACUACUUCCCACAAAACCUAUUAUAAACAGUGUGCUAGCUACCAAGAAUGUGCAGAUUCAUGAAAGAGCUUUGUGCAAAAAAUUAGGAGAAAGAGAAACAUAAGAGACAUUUCAGCAAGUUUACUUAUGGAGGCAAAAAAUAAUUCUACUUAUCACUGUAAUACGAGUUG